ACCCUUCCCCACCUUCUUCUACUCCAACCCUCUGUCCUUCUGGUUGGACACUAGAUUGGCAACCGCAAUGCCACCCCCACCCAUGCCCAGGAGGCUCACAUACAGUACACACUUAUGAGUACAUGUACAUGCGCGCGCGCACACACACACACACAUACACACACACGGCCCCAUGAGUGCCAGGCAGCGGUGGCAGACACACAGCAAUGCACAGUGACUGGUACCCGAGGAGGCAGCCGGAUUCGGCACCUGAUCCAGCACCCGUUUGGGAUUGGAAAACCAACACAAACCAGAGAGACAACAGAUAAUAUCUGUCAAUACUGACCCCCAGUCCAGGUCACCAAGAGAAGAUUCUGGGCACCAAGAGAAGAUUCUGGGCUCAAAUGGGCUCAUUUACUUGCUCUUUUCUACCUGUCAAGGGUAUCAAUUCAAUGGGAAUUCCCCAGCAAUUAGCAGAGAAUGGCUAGGAUUCUCUGCAAGGAUGCCUUGGGAAGACUGACAAAACAGAGCCUGUCUUUGGGGAAAAGUGGUCACCCCUACCCAUCUGGAAGGUCAAGAAUUUGGGGAAAAGAGCCAGGCACAAUGAACACAGCAACUUGGGAGGCUGUGGCAGGAAGAUAGCAAGUUGGAGGCCAGCCUGGACAACUUAGUGAGAGUCUGUCUUAAAAUAAAAAAGUUUAAAAAGUGCUGAGGAUGUGAUGAAAUGCUGUCGGGUUCAAUCCCCAGUGCCAAAUACAUCAAAAAAGAAUUUUGGAAAAAAACAAAUAAAAGGCCAUCUGACUUUGAGUUGUUGUGGGAUUUUUUUGAAUUUUUUUUUUAAUAUUUAUUUUUUUUUUUUAGUUUUCGGCGGACAUAACAUCUUU